rnacentral:tRNA from 1 species
GUGGCUCAGUUGGUAGAGCAUGGUGUUUGCAACGCCAGGGUUGUGGGUUCAAUUCCCACC